AGUGAACGCUGGCGGUAUGCCUAACACAUGCAAGUCGAACGGCAGCACAGUAAGAUCUUGCUCUUACGGGUGGCGAGUGGCGGACGGGUGAGGAAUACAUCGGAAUCUACUUUUUCGUGGGGGAUAACGUAGGGAAACUUACGCUAAUACCGCAUACGACCUACGGGUGAAAUCAGGGGAUCUUCGGACCUUUCGCGAUUGAAUGAGCCGAUGUCGGAUUAGCUAGUUGGCGGGGUAAAGGCCCACCAAGGCGACGAUCCGUAGCUGGUCUGAGAGGAUGAUCAGCCACACUGGAACUGAGACACGGUCCAGACUCCUACGGGAGGCAGCAGUGGGGAAUAUUGGACAAUGGGCGCAAGCCUGAUCCAGCCAUACCGCGUGGGUGAAGAAGGCCUUCGGGUUGUAAAGCCCUUUUGUUGGGAAAGAAAAGCAGCAGGUUAAUACCCCGCUGUUCUGACGGUACCCAAAGAAUAAGCACCGGCUAACUUCGUG
rnacentral:rRNA from 1 species